UACGGGGGGGGGCAAGCGUUGUUCGGAAUUACUGGGCGUAAAGGGCGCGUAGGCGCCUUCUAAGUCGAACGUGAAAUCCCCGGGCUCAACCCGGGAACUGCGUCCGAUACUGGAAGGCUUGAAUCCGGGAGAGGGAUGCGGAAUUCCAGGUGUAGCGGUGAAAUGCGUAGAUAUCUGGAGGAACACCGGUGGCGAAGGCGGCAUCCUGGACCGGCAUUGACGCUGAGGCGCGAAAGCGUGGGGAGCAAACAGG
rnacentral:rRNA from 1 species